rnacentral:rRNA from 1 species
AUCCUCCGGGGGGCAGCAGUGGGGAAUAUUGCACAAUGGGGGAAACCCUGAUGCAGCAACGCCGCGUGAGUGAGGAAGUAUUUCGGUAUGUAAAGCUCUAUCAGCAGGGAAGAAGAUGACGGUACCUGAUUAAGAAGCCCCGGCUAACUACGUGCCAGCAGCCGCGGUAAUACGUAGGGGGCAAGCGUUAUCCGGAUUUACUGGGGGUAACGGGAGCGCAGACGGCAGUGCAAGGCUGGAGUGAAAGCCCGGGGCCCAACCACGGAACUGCUCUGGAACCUGUGCGGUUAGAG